rnacentral:rRNA from 1 species
AGCAGCCGCGGUAAUUCCAGCUCCAAUAGCGUAUAUUAAAGUUGUUGCAGUUAAGAAGCUCGUAGUUGAAUUUCGGGAUUCUACCGUUGGUCGGGCUAUCCAGUCUGUACUAGCGUGUAGAAUUCCUACCUUCUGGGGAACCAUCAUGUUAUUAAUUUAGCGUGGUGGGAAACCAGGACCUUUACCUUGAAAAAAUUAGAGUGUUCAAAGCAGGCUUACGUCUGAAUACAUUAGCAUGGAAUAAUAGAAUAGGACGGUGGUCCUGUUUUGUUGGUUUCUGAAUCACCGUAAUGAUUAAUAGGGAUAGUUGGGGGCAUUAGUAUUCAAUUGUCAGAGGUGAAAUUCUUGGAUUUAUUGAAGACUAACUUCUGCGAAAGCAUUUGCCAAGGAUGUUUUCAUUAAUCAAGAACGAAAGUUAGGGGAUCGAAGACGAUCAGAUACCGUCGUAGUCUUAACCAUAAACUAUGCCGACUAGGGAUCGGACGAUGUUUAAUUUUAUUGACUCGUUCGGCGCCUUACG